ensembl:lncRNA
AUGGAUGCAACUUUAUACCCUUUUACAAAGCAAAAAGGGGCAAACAAAGAGGAUGAGGGAAGGGGAUAUCCUCCUCUUCACAUUGUUGUAUUUACCGUUUACAGACAGGAUGUCAGUCAAACAGCUACAGUCAUUGUUGAAGUCACCCUUUGUGCACUUGUUUUACUUGACAUUAGAGCAGCUGAUAAAUCAGUCUUCAGUGUUAAAGCACGAAACUACAACAUCUCCCAGCUGAAUAGUUACCAGAGCAUGUCUUUCUUUUCCCAAACAGAUUCCAGCAAACACUCAGGGAGAUGCUGGACCUCAGUGGUGUCUACAUCUGCAACAGCUCCUGUCCCCGCUCCUUUCGUAGCGGCUGUUUUGAACUCAGUCUUACUCCUUCCUGCAGACAUCCGUCACAUCUUCCAGCCAUCCUCCUCGCCUGAAUAACUGAUGACAGUACGAAUUUGGUCUCUGUGCAGCUCAUAAGACUCAGUGAAAGCUUUUUAAACUCACCCAUAUUCCUGAUUAUCUGGUAUUACAGAGUGUUAAAUAGAGGUAGUAUGAGAAAAUAUCCAGAGUUGCAUGCUGGACCACAUGGAAACAUUAAGAGUUGCAUUGUGGCCUGCCUAUUUGAGAGGGGGAUUCAUGUGUGUUAAGUUUUGUUAUGGAUUAUAACACCCUACUUUAGAGAGUCACCUAAAUGCAUAAUACAUAUAUAAAUGUAUUCAGCCUCAGAUGUCGACAAGUAAGGUAGUUUUUUGAAAAUGCUCUCAUGUUGGAUGAAUUUAGAAUUAAUUUAGAAUGUGCAGUCUAUGCAGUGCUUGUUCUUCUCCUUUGCAGCAGCCUGGGUGGGUCAUCAAAGCAGACUGCACCUAAGAGAUGUGCACGGCUUUAGCUGUGUAAGGCCUGUUUGGGCAUCUGAGCACUGGACUUAGGCCUUAAAACAACACUAACACACCUAUACCUUUACUCUUCUAGACAUGCCGUAAAGUAUGGUCACAUAGCAUUUCAGUUCAGUGACACUGCCCAGAAGCAAGACAUAAUGUCACCGCUCUGAUGUGGUUAAUAACUGUAAACAGUGUAUAUUGUAGUUUAUAGUCUGGUUGCGUAAUAUUGCACUAAAGUGGGUGAUUUCCAAACACAGUAAAUCAGUGUUUCUCUUGGCCAAAUGAGCAAAUGAAUUGGUCAAAGUUGAACAAAGGGGAACUCUGAGCUGUGAGUCCGCCGGUCGCACUGAAACAGGAAACAUGCUUGAAUUUGUUCGUCAUUCUGGCUUUAAAAGAAAUUAAUGCGUGAAUAUUCUUGGGAUGGAAAUGUAAUGUGACCAUAGCUUUAAAUACUGAUUCUUUUCACAUUUCCACAGCUCAUGUUAUUUUCCUUUGUUUAACUUGGUACAUUUAAUUGGUAUUUAUAACCCUUGUGUGUGCGUAGAAGAAUGUUAACAACAUUAGAAUGCUGGAUUCUGAUUGUUACACAUAUUGUUACAUUAUUACAACCUUUCACGGAUAUGGUUGAAUUUUUCUUCCUGUCAUACUUUACCAGACAUCAACAAACCAACAGGCGGAAUGUGAAGGACAGUGGUAGAUAGAGGAAAAUAUUGUAAAACGUAGGGGCCCUCUGAGCUGACAAUGAUCCACAUGGUGUACCAAAUGUGGCCAGAAUUUGAGAGACUGUUCUGACUAUAAAAACUGAAAUAGUUGUUUAUUCAGUUUUGAAUAACAAAAAUGACUACUAACCGUCCUUUUAUUUAGAAGCAAAGGUGAAAGUCAGGUGAGUAGGAUGAUGAAUCUUUUACGGAAUAGUUGUAUGGUUUGUUUUGUAAGGCAGGAUAAGACAAAUGGGCUUUUUCAACACUUAGUCAUAAGGACUUGUUGGAAAUUGAGCUUCCUGACACAUAUAUGUUUAUAUAUGCGGUCACACAUAACAACAUCAGUGAACAAAGCCUGAAGGUGUCUGAACAUCUGGUCCUAUUUUAAAGUAAUUUGUCAGCCUGA